CAGCCGUAAACAAUGUGCGUUAGGUGUGUCGGUAACCACGCGUUACUGAUGCGCCGAAGAGAAAUCGUGAAACGCACCACCUGGGAAGUACGGUCGCAAGGCUGAAACUUAAAGGAAUUGGCGGGGGAGCACCACAACAGGUGGAGCCUGCGGUUUAAUUGGAUUCAACACCGUAAAACUCACCAGGGAAGACUGUUACAUGAAGGCCGAGAUGAAGACUCUGCUAGAUUUUCAGAGAGGAGGUGCAUGGCGUCAGUGACU
rnacentral:rRNA from 1 species